GGAGGUGGCAAGCGUUGUUCGGAUUUACUGGGUGUAAAGGUCAUGUAGGCGUCUUACUAAGUCGGGUGUGAAAUCCCUUGGCUCAACCAAGGAACUGCAUUCGAUACUGGUAAGAUUGAGUACGGGAGAGGAAAGCGGAAUUCCGGAAGUAAGGGUGAAAUCUGUAGAUAUCCGGAAGAACACCAUUAGCGAAGGCGGCUUUCUGGCCCGAUACUGACGCUGAAAUGAGAAAGCUAGGGGAGCGAACAGGAUUAGAUACCCUGGUAGUCCUAGCUGUAAACGAUGGGCACUAGAUGCAGGUCCCGCGAGGGGCUGUGUCGUAGCUAACGCGUUAAGUGCCCCACCUGGGAACUACGGUCGCAAGGCUA
rnacentral:rRNA from 1 species